rnacentral:rRNA from 1 species
GAUUAAGUUAUUAAGGGCGCACGGUGGAUGCCUUGGCACUAGAAGCCGAAGAAGGACGUUACUAACGACGAUAUGCUUUGGGUAGCUGUAAGUAAGCGUUGAUCCAGAGAUUUCCGAAUGGGGGAACCCAACAUGAGUUAUGUCAUGUUAUCGACAUGUGAAUUCAUAGCAUGUCAGAAGGCAGACCCGGAGAACUGAAACAUCUUAGUACCCGGAGGAAGAGAAAGAAAAAUCGAUUCCCUGAGUAGCGGCGAGCGAAACGGGAAGAGCCCAAACCAACAAGCUUGCUUGUUGGGGUUGUAGGACACUCUAUACGGAGUUACAAAAGAACAUGUUAGACGAAUCAUCUGGAAAGAUGAAUCAAAGAAGGUAAUAAUCCUGUAGUCGAAAACAUAUUCUCUCUUGAGUGGAUCCUGAGUACGACGGAGCACGUGAAAUUCCGUCGGAAUCUAGGAGGACCAUCUCCUAAGGCUAAAUACUCUCUAGUGACCGAUAGUGAACCAGUACCGUGAGGGAAAGGUGAAAAGUACCCCGGAAGGGGAGUGAAAGAGAACUUGAAACCGUGUGCUUACAAGUAGUCAGAGCCCGUUUAUGGGUGAUGGCGUGCCUUUUGUAGAAUGAACCGGCGAGUUACGAUCUGAUGCAAGGUUAAGCAG